GAGGGUAUAGCUCAGUGGUAGAGCGCAUGCCUAGCACACAUGAGGUCCUCGGGUCAAUCGCCAGUACCUCCA
rnacentral:tRNA from 1 species